AGUGCUGGUGUCUGUACAGGCGCAGUCAAGCUUUCCGUGCUGAUGAAAAUGGCAUUACUCCCUGAAAACUGAGCUGCAUGGAAGAAAGGAAUCAUGCUUCUUUCACCCUGUGAGAUGUACUUGGGUGACCCAGUGGGAAGGAUUUAAGGCAUGUCUUCAGAAGGUCUAGGUCCCAAUCAGCACAGGAACUUGUUCUGGAAGGCAUCCAGAAAAACUGGGAAUAGAAUUCAUGACAGAUGUGUAGAAGUGAAGGAGAGGUAGACUGUACAGUGUCAGCAGUGAGAAUACACAGUGCCACCAUGAAAGCAUCCAUUGCCCAAAGGGUCGUAGAAGUUGUGACUAUAUCAAAACCUGCUUAUCAACUGAUGAUCUUCCUCUGUAUUGCCCGUCAAAUGGACUGUCAUGGAACCACUACAAGAAAUGUAUGGCUCCAUGGCUUGGCAAUGACAGUGGCGUGCAGGUGGGGACGAGGCUCUCAAGCUCCAUAAGAAAAAUGUAAGUUUUGCUGCAGCUGUACUAGCAACAUUUCACAGUCAUUUACAAAAUAUAAUCAAGGGCCACUACAAAUAAAAAAGGGUACACAUUGUAACA
rnacentral:lncRNA from 1 species